CCUACGGGUGGCAGCAGUGAGGAAUAUUGGUCAAUGGACGCAAGUCUGAACCAGCCAUGCCGCGUGCAGGAAGACGGCCCUAUGAGUUGUAAACUGCUUUUGUACGAGGGUAAACGCAGAUACGCGUAUCUUUCUGUAAGUACGUUACGAAUAAGGGUCGGCUAACUCCGUGCCAGCAGCCGCGGUACUACGGAGGAUUCAAGCGUUAUCCGGAUUUAUUGGGUUUAAAGGGUGCGUCGGCGGUGGGAUAAGUUAGAUGUGAAAUCACGAGGCUCAACUUCAGAAUUGCCAGUGUUACUGUUAGGCUAGAGAAUAGUUGAGGUAGGCGGAAUGUAUGGUGUAGCGGUGAAAUGCUUAGAGAUCAUGAAGAACACCGAUUGCGAAGGCAGCUUACAAAGCUGCCACUGACGUUGAGGCGCGAAAGCGUGGGUAGCAAACAGGAUUAGAUACCCGGGUAGUC
rnacentral:rRNA from 1 species